UCUCCGUUGGUGAACCAGCGGAGGGAUCAUUACCGAGUUUACAACUCCCAAACCCAAUGUGAACCAUACCAAACUGUUGCCUCGGCGGGGUCACGCCCCGGGUGCGUCGCAGCCCCGGAACCAGGCGCCCGCCGCAGGGACCAACCAAACUCUUUCUGUAGUCCCCUCGCGGACGUUAUUUUUACAGCUCUGAGCAAAAAUUCAAAAUGAAUCAAAACUUUCAACAACGGAUCUCUUGGUUCUG
rnacentral:misc_RNA from 1 species